ensembl:lncRNA
AGAAAAUGUGUGAUUUGGGGGUUAAAAGGGGGAUUUCUGAGGAGAAAAUGUGUGCUUUUGGGGUUAAUGGGGUAUUUUUGGAGAGAAAAUGCAUGAUUUGGGGUAAAUGCGUAUUUUCCAAGAGAAAAGGUGAGGUUUUUGAGUUAAAUGGGGGGUUUUCCAAGAGAAAAUGCGUGAUUUUGGGGUUAAACGGGGGAUUGUUGAAGAGAAAACGCACAAUUUUUGGUUUAAACAGCAAGUUUUGUAGAGAAUAUGCAUGAUUUUCGGUUUAAAACAGAGAUUCUCAAAGAGAAAUGCAUUAUUUUUGUUUAAAUGGGGUAUUUUUGAAGGGAAAAUGCAUGAUUUUUGGGUUAAAUGGGGGAUUUUUCAAGAGAAAAUGUGUGAUUUUCAGUUAAAUCGCGGAUUCUCAAUGAGAAAAUGCCUGAUGUUUGCAUUAAAUGUGUGAUUUUCGUAGAGAUAAUGCGUGAUUUUCAGGUUACAUGGGAGAUUUUUGAAGAGAAAAUGCGUGAUUUUCGGUUAAUUGGGUGAUUUCUGCAAAGAAAAUGCAUCAUUUUUGGGUUAAAUUGUGU